CCUACGGGAGGCAGCAGUGAGGAAUAUUGGUCAAUGGGCGGAAGCCUGAACCAGCCAAGUCGCGUGAGGGAAUAAGGCCCUACGGGUCGUAAACCCCUUUUGCCGGGGAGCAAGGGCGGGGACGUGUCCCGGCCCGGAGAGUACCCGGAGAAAAAGCAUCGGCUAACUCCGUGCCAGCAGCCGCGGUAAUACGGAGGAUGCGAGCGUUAUCCGGAUUUAUUGGGUUUAAAGGGUGCGUAGGCGGGCUUUUAAGUCAAGGGUGAAAUCCCCGCGCCCAACGUGGGAACUGCCUUUGAGACUGGCAAACUGGAGUGUGUGAGAGGAUAGUGGAAUUCCAGGUGUAGGAGUGAAAUGCGUAGAUAUCUGGAGGAACAUCAGUGGCGAAGGCGACUGUCUGGCACAAAACUGACGCUGAGGAGCGAAAGCGUGGGUAGCAAACAGGAUUAGAUACCCGAGUAGUC
rnacentral:rRNA from 1 species